rnacentral:rRNA from 1 species
UACGUAGGCAGCAAGCGUUGUUCGGAAUUACUGGGCGUAAAGGGUGUGUAGGCGGUUUUCUAAGUUUGGUGUGAAAUCUCCCGGCUCAACCGGGAGGGUGCGCCGAAAACUGGAAGACUAGAGUGCGGGAUGGGAGAGUGGAAUUCCCAGUGUAGCGGUGAAAUGCGUAGAUAUUGGGAGGAACACCAGUGGCGAAGGCGGCUCACUGGACCGGUACUGACGCUGAGGCGCGAAAGCGUGGGGAGCAAACGGG